rnacentral:lncRNA from 7 species
GCUUUUAACUGAUAGAAUCUCAUUUCAGCUGAGAAGAAUACGAAGGAGCUGCUCCUUCAUAUACGUGAAGACUCUAAGAUAGAAUUGAGUAUAAUUAUCAUCUGCAAUGACACAUGUGAUGGCACACGUUUGUUUUGAACAAGACGUUAAAAAGAGUGAUUGAAUUUGCAAGAGUGACAAUUGUGACAAUUGAUAAUUGCAGAGAUGUUGCCUCCAUCAUUUUCGCAGGCUUUCCAAAUUCCAUGACUCAACUAAGGAUUAUCAAAGCACAAGUCAGUAGGGAAUAAUAGAAGAAGCAGUACAGGUUACUUCAACGACAGCUGUGUUUUUAUACAUUCAAUUGGGCCCAAUGGAACAUGGGAAAACCACAAGAGACAAUUACUUGUCAUUUGUGAAGACUUGUUGAAGUAAAAUUAACAAGUGAAGAAAAAUAUGAAACUCUACAUUUUUAGUCCAAGAAGUGAAAUAAAUAUAAAUUUAGAUGUAUAUAUUUCUGCAAAAACUUGGGAGAAGGGAAUUUAUAUCUGAAGCUUACAAUUGGUUUAUAAACCCAGCUGAUUAAGUGAAAGUCUAUGAAGGCUAACUUCUUUCCAAUUAGGAUUUUACAAUCUUUGCUAGUGCCUAUUUGUCUUUGCCCCUGCUCACAACUAUAUGUUAACCAAAUGGUACAGAAUGAAGCAAAAGCUGUUUGAUACAUUGGGUUACAUUAUUUUAAACUAAAUCUUCAAUUACGCUGAUAUUAAAGUGGGAAUUGUUUAAGAAGUUUCUGUCAUGAUAAACCCAACUGUUGUAAUAACAAGAGAGAAUGAGUCAAGUAGUGCAGGUUAUGACUACUAUCGUCUUUUUAGUAUGUAAUAGGGAUUAUAUUAAUGGAAAUGUAAAUUCUAGGAAGUGAACCUGAUGAUACAAAAUAGGACACUACCAACAGUACUGAGAUGUGCUUCAGUUGACUGCUUGAUAAUGUCUUAAUUCUGGACGGGGAGAGCAGAAGGAAAGUCUUACCUUCUUAAUGUGCCUGUAUAAAACAUCCAGGUCUGGCCUGUAAUUCUAGCCUAGACAAUACGACACUUUUGGCUAUAUGCUUGAAUUGCUGUUAUGCAUGUAAAUAAUUGAGUGAACACUGCCAACUAUUGGUAGAUAAAUUGAAAGCUUUGCUCCCAC